AGCAUAUCAAUAAGCGGAGGAAAAGAAACUAACAAGGAUUCCCCUAGUAACUGCGAGUGAAGCGGGAAAAGCUCAAAUUUAAAAUCUGGUGGUCUUUGGCCGCCCGAGUUGUAGUCUGGAGAAGUGCUUUCCGCGCUGGACCGUGUACAAGUCUCUUGGAACAGAGCGUCAUAGAGGGUGAGAAUCCCGUCUUUGACACGGACUACCAGUGCUUUGUGAUGCGCUCUCAAAGAGUCGAGUUGUUUGGGAAUGCAGCUCAAAAUGGGUGGUAAAUUCCAUCUAAAGCUAAAUAUUGGCGAGAGACCGAUAGCGAACAAGUACCGUGAGGGAAAGAUGAAAAGCACUUUGGAAAGAGAGUUAAACAGUACGUGAAAUUGCUGAAAGGGAAACACUUGAAGUCAGUCGCGUCGGCCGGAACUCAGCCUUGCUCUUUUUGCUCGGUGCACUUUCUGGUUGACGGGCCAGCAUCGAUUUUGACCGUUGGAAAAAGGCUGGGGGAAUGUGGCACCUUCGGGUGUGUUAUAGCCCUCGGUCACAUACAACGGACGGGAUCGAGGAACUCAGCACGCCUUUAUGGCCGGGGUUCGCCCACGUUCGUGCUUAGGAUGCUGGCGUAAUGGCUUUAAAUGACCCGUCUUGAAACACGGACCAAGGAGUCUAACAUGCCUGCGAGUGUUUGGGUGGAAAACCCGAGCGCGUAAUGAAAGUGAAAGUUGAGAUCCCUGUCAUGGGGAGCAUCGACGCCCGGACCUGACCUUCUGUGACGGAUCUGCGGUAGAGCAUGUAUGUUGGGACCCGAAAGAUGGUGAACUAUGCCUGAAUAGGGUGAAGCCAGAGGAAACUCUGGUGGAGGCUCGUAGCGAUUCUGACGUGCAAAUCGAUCGUCAAAUUUGGGUAUAGGGGCGAAAGACUAAUCGAACCAUCUAGUAGCUGGUUCCUG
rnacentral:rRNA from 1 species